rnacentral:rRNA from 1 species
GCAAGUCUGGUGCCAGCAGCCGCGGUAAUUCCAGCUCCAAUAGCGUAUAUUAAAGUUGUUGCAGUUAAAAAGCUCGUAGUUGAACCUUGGGUCUGGCUGGCCGGUCCGCCUCACCGCGUGUACUGGUCCGGCGGGACCUUUCCUUCUGGGGAAUCGCAUGCCCUUCACUGGGUGUGUCGAGGAUCCAGGACUUUUACUUUGAAAAAAUUAGAGUGUUCAAAGCAGGCCUAUGCUCGAAUACAUUAGCAUGGAAUAAUAGAAUAGGACGUGUGGUUCUAUUUUGUUGGUUUCUAGGACCGCCGUAAUGAUUAAUAGGGAUAGUCGGGGGCAUCAGUAUUCAAUUGUCAGAGGUGAAAUUCUUGGAUUUAUUGAAGACUAACUACUGCGAAAGCAUUUGCCAA